UUUACUAUUGUUUUGUGACUAAUUGAAUGUGUACACUAAAUACUUUCAGUGGUUGUGAUUUACUAUAUAACCUAAUUAAAAAUCUGUUAUCCAUUAGUUUGAUGGAAUUAAAUAGAUACAUAUUCCUCAAAAUAAUACUGAUUUACAAAACUUCUGAAGUCUAAACAACUUUGAGAACAGUUUAUCAAGACCAAUCACCUUGUUUUUGAUUAAAUAAACAUAAAUUUUAUGACUUAUGUUAGAAAUAAUAUAAAACCAUAUGUUAGAAAUAAGGUCACAGAAAAAAAAGAUAAGACUAUAACCUGAAUGUUCCACAUCAUAGUAAUCUUCCUUUCACUGAAGUUGAUAUUUUUGUAGACUACAGAGAUCCUUAUUUCUUAUGCUAACUGUCAAACUCAUAGAAGAUUUUAACCUUUUGUGCAGAGAAAAAUUGAAAACAUAUAU
rnacentral:lncRNA from 1 species